CUGGGGACACGAACAGAACACAGAGGAGAGACACAGCAAUCACACAACCCCUUCCCACGAUGCGGACCAUGACGACCCCUUGAUGCUUUUGGAAUAUAUACGCGAUAUUGAACUCCCAGAACAACAAGAAAAACCACAAGCUUUGUGCAACAACGGAGACUCAGAACCAUUCUUCAUCACCGGACCAUACAUACACGCGAGUGCCUGCCUUGUGAUUUCAGCGAUGUUUCUGAGUACAGCCUAUCAGAUUUCAAUAUAGUUGACAUACCCACCACGCCAGAAUGUCUCAGAAACAACAGUGAUACAGACAUAGGUUUUGAAGAAGGCUGCAUAACA